CUUUUUUUCUUGUCUGUGGCUUCCUGAGAAUCCAGCUGCUAGUUGAAACUUGUUGCUGCAAAUUAGAUAUAACUGGUGGGAAGUGGCCUGUACUCACACUCCACAAGAAAAGUCUCCAAAGCAGAGGAUCAGGAGCCGUAUUACUGCAGACCUCGUCUUGUGCUGAAGUCUAGGAUGGCCUCCUUUGGAUCUUGUUUGUGGUGCAUCGUCUGGCUGGUGAUUCUGCUGUUCAUCGGCUGGCCCAUAGGCAUCACCCUGGGUGGUCUUUAUGGCCUCAUCAGCCCCCUGACCACCUGCCUGGGCCUGGACCGACUCUCAGAUCUGCUCCUGGAGGGGGCCAACUUGGGCCGAACCUGUGCCAACAACAUGAAACAUUGUAAACCUCUGUGUUGAGGUCGACCCCGGGGUUGAUCAGACCAGAGUCUUCAGAUACCAAAGGCAUGGUUGAUGUAUUUAUAAUUUCUACUCCACAGUUAACACCUGUUAACAUUCUGACAGCAUGCAGUCACGAAUGCUAUAUCAAUCAUGUAAGAAAUUUAUGAUAGUUAUUUACACAAAAACAUUUGCCUUGUUUAAUUAACAGAUUAUCAACUGUGGAACUCUGUAAUUAAUUAAUUAAUUAAUUAAUGCUCUAUAACUGUUCCCUUUCUCUUUGUCAACAAUUUUAUUCAAAUAUAUUUGUUAAAAAAUAUUCCAUGUUGCUGUCGCUUUGUUUGCCUCAAGACUUUAAGGGGCCACUGGGUAAAAUAACCACAUGGUCUUAAAACAUAAAAAACCCUGACAACUUGUUGUAGUGACAACAAUUAGGAAAGCUAAAUAAACUACACAGGGUUAGAGUAUAAUGCCGGUGAUGCCUUCCUGUCCUAGGAAAAAGUUUAGUUGCAGGCACAUGAUCGCAAACAAAUCAGUUGUGAGGUGAGCACAGGGACCAACAAUCUGAGCUUUUACUGACAAAUCAUCUUGUCUGCAUUUGAUCAUCCCUAUUCAUAACCAAAUUCAUCAGUUUGAGGCACGUGACCUACUCUGCUGCCCCAGGUAAUUUUCAUGUACACUUAAAAACUCAAUAGCAGUGAUGCCUUCACUGUGCUAGGAAAAUAGAUAGUAUUGCAGCAAAAACCUCAAGCGUCCUUGAAAUAGUUAUUCAAGUCAAAUCAAGUUCAUGUAAUAACUAUAAAUGCAUCAUUACAGCCACUAUCUCUUCUUCAAAGUGUAAUUUAAAUAUUAGUGUUCACAAAGUCACUUCAGUUCACGUUCUCGUUUUUUUAAUAUCCUGCAGUCAAUGUAUUUCUACUUUCAGGCACUUUUUACUGCAUCCUUAAUUUGACUUUUAGUCAGACCAUUAGUCCAUUAGAUAUUGUUUUUUAUAAGACUUGUUUUGGCUGCAUUUUUAUGAGGCAGCUUAGCUUUGCUUUGAGCGACUCUGAAGGGACAAAUAAAGCAAAGAAACUUUUUAAAAUUAAAUUUCAUUACUAAUUAA